rnacentral:lncRNA from 1 species
AGAUCCGUUUAAUAGUUUUUGAAGACUUUUCCUGUAAAAUGGCUUGUAUUUCCACAGAUACAAUAGUGAAGAAAUAAACUUUUCAAUUUGACAUGAAAUAUAAAAGAACAAUUUUACAAAUAUAGCCAUAAAAUUUAACUGCUCAUAACACUAUACAUGGUAAAUAUGACUACUCUCUUAGCUUCUAGACUAUUUAAUACAGAGAAACAAAUCUGUCAUCUCAGCUAAAAAGAAACAACUUCCCUUUCAUUGAGUUUACUUUUGUUUAGAAAUAAGUAGAACUGGAAAAAUAUUUACUUUUCCCCAUUUUCCUCCAGGGGUUCUUCGUGAGGGUGAAAACUUGAGAAGAUACAAGUUUUACUAAAAAGAAAUACUGAACCUUCUUUUGUUUUACUGCUUCAGUAAUGUUUACGUUCUUUUAAAUAGAUCCUGGAGUUGUCUCAUUGGCCUUUGACUGGGUCAUAAAGAAAUGACAACAGAGCUGUGUAGCACUACAGGAGGAACUUCAUACCCUCUGCCUAUGAAGGCCAAACUGUGGCGAUGUAAGAGCUACAGCCAAGGGACCAGAGCUGGAUCUGGCUUAAAAUCAAAGUUCUGUGGUUUAUCUAUCAGAAAUUCCAUUGUUACAAGGCAGGAUUGCAUGGAUAGCCAGCAUUAACAAUGUUGUGAUCAUAUACUUCAUGCAAAUCCAAAGAACAGAAUGGCUUUAAACAGAAAAGUUGAUCAAAAUCAUAGAACUGCUGGUAAUAAUUCUGUAAUCUAUGUUAAAUUAAGGAGAAAACAUUCUCCUUUUUAAAUUCUCAAAAAGUGCCUAAAUAACAAUACUGAGCUCCCCAAAUGACAGGGGUUUCAAUUUUUUUUUUUUUUAAUGUACGCAAAAAUAAAGCAUUGAAGCUUCAUGAAGAGUUCUCCUCAACUCUGCUGAUAAAGUAGAUGUAAUAACUUAAAAAAAUUUCCCUAUUGAUACUGGAAGUAAAUUCUACUACAAUCAUGUGUAUGCAUGCCAGUUGCUGGCAUAUUUCUGCAUCCAGAUUCAUUAGUCUCCUUAAUGGAGCCCAUCAUUUUUCCAAUGGCUUUCUCCUUUCUUUAAACCCUAACCCUGAAAUUCUAUAACCAGUUAUAUCACGUGGCUUCCCUGAGGCACAAAGGUACCAAACUCUAUAAUUAACUAUCAAGGAAUGAUAAAUAUGCUAUUUAUAUUAAAAGAUUUUAAUUCUUUUAGGCUACAGUUGGGGAAAAAAAAAAAACCCAGAAAGCUUAAUACUUACUCUGCAGUGUGAACUGUAGCCCUUUUUGCAAAAAGUGAAACGAAAUAAGGGAACUGUUGAGUUGCAGCAUGCAUGACCUGGCAGCACCGAUUAGUAAUAAUAAAAAAAUUCCAGACUAGAAAAAUAUUCAGAGUUCUAUCCCAUCACUCUGAAUUUUUUUUUUUUUUGUAGUAAACUAGCAUAAACAUCUGGAAAAAAAAAAAAACCAAACCUAUGGGAAUAUAUCACUGGGGCUUUUCUGGAAACCUAGUCACAAAAGGCAUUUUGGUCAGGCUGAGAUCAGGAUAACUGGUCUGCAAUUUCCUAUGUAUACACCUGGGGAGUGGGAUUUGCCCUUGAACAUCAGUAAGACAUAAAAACAGACAUGACCUCUGAGAAGUUACCUUUUCUGAGCUGUAUUACUCUACUCUGAGCUAGAGUUCUUCUCAUAAAUGAAAUUGCUCUCAACUCGGGGGAAAAAUUCAUUAGCCAAAGUUAUAAGAAGAUCUUAUUAGAAGUGGCCAAGAGGAGCCUGGUUUUCUUCUGCAGACUUGCCAGCUUGCUAUGGUUCCCUAGGCAGGGUGGGAGGAGACCUCACUGGGAAGUCAAAGAAAAAGGUAUGGCACUAACAGGAGGUGGGUCACUGUUACCCCUUCCAAGAGCUUGGAAUAGAUUACACAAGUUUACUAAAACUGAAAGUCAGGAAUUUUUCAGGUUGGAAGUUAACUUUAUUUUGGGGCACAUGUUGCAUGUAGAACUACUAGACCCUGACAUUCUGUAGUCCUUGAAAUAGAAAAGUAUACCGAUUGUAACUUUCUUAGAAAAAUUUUUGAUAGGUAAAAUCCAGCCUUUCUAGAUGCAAGACCAUUUAUUUACAAGAUACUUUUAGGGUAUUAAGAUUUCUCAACCCACCUUCAAGCCACAGAGCAAGAAAAGGGACCCUGUGCUUCCUUUAUCAUUUUUAUGGAACCUAAAGCAGCACAAAUUGAAAAGCCACGCUAUUGGUGAAAGCUAAUCAUGGGAACCUUUAACUACAUCAAAAGGCAUUUGAUACAUGCUAGGACCAACUUCGUUUUUUUUCUUUCCUUUUCUGUCUGCAGGUUGAGCAAACUAUACAGAAUAGAGUAAGCUAUUAAUAAGAGCACUGUUAUUGGAUUUUCACGUCACUUCAAACUGCCAAAACACCUCAUCAUAAACAAUAAUCUCCACUGAAAAGUAAAGCUAUUAAAAACAGAGGCUGAACUUUUUAGACAUGAAGUCAACUUAAACACAGCAGUCACGACUGAUCGAUCUUAUCACGUUAAGGAAAAGGAUUUUCAAAAUGGGUUAGAACGAUUUGAAAAUAGGCAAAAUAUUUGCUAGUAGGCAAACCAUGGAAAAAACCAAUUCAAAUAGGAAUACAGUAUAUUAGGGUCAUAUAAAUUAUAUAUCAUUACAAAGGUUAAAAAAAUGCAGCACAAAUCUGCCACGGUCAAUUUAAGAGGAUGUUAAUUUAAAUAAAUACUUGCUCCAUGUGGCAGGAACCGAUUUCAUCCUAGCCAGCUCUGGCAGUUGCAUGUCCUAAAGGAUCAUUAUAUUCUGGGAACAGGCAUACACUGGUACUAAGCACAGAGAACGAAUAUCCAAGAAUUACUAUUCACAAUGAAAUGAAACUAACAGAGAGGGAUGGUGGCGCUCAUAUGAAAUUCUGAUUUAAUUAUUUCUCAGUAAACACUCAUUUGCUCUCUUGAAAUCAGGAAUUUCAAAUGAUCUCUGCAGCUGUACCACUUGGUGUUGUAUAUACCUAAUGAUCACAUUUAAAUUUAGUUUUAUUUGCAAACAUUUUCAAAACUUAACAGGGCUCCGUAAGCUGCAAAGGAAGGUGACAGACGGCAGAAAGGGAGGGAACAAAAAUGACUAUCAUUGGGAUAUGCUGCUUUUGGGCUCCCAGAAUUUUGGCUUUCUUGAGGGGAAAACAAAACAAAAAACAACUUAGAAAACCCCAACAAGUGGUUUUAAAAUGUAAUAUCUUAUUUUUAAUCAUCUUAAAUAAUCCAGUAAGCAAAUAAAACUUGAUGUUAUUAAUAUCAGGGCCGUGUGGACCCUCAGUUAAUGGAUUUUUAGGACUUGUGGCAUUUUAAUCAACCAAACAAUUCUGGCCAUGCAUGAUGAGUAUCAGAGACCAAAAUAACAAAAGGCAGGCUAAAAAGGUAUGGAAAAUUCUUUGUUUGAAAUGCCAAGGUAUUUGAUGAACAUGUGUAUAAAGUAAUUAAAUUCUACCAAAGUUACCAAAAAAAAAAAAAAAAAA